GUUUUGCUCCAGCAGAACAUAUACUAAAAUUAGAACAAUAGAGAGAAUAUUACCAUGGCCCUGUGUGCAAGGGUAGCACAUACGUUCAUGAAGUGUUCCAUAUUUUU